UGAUAUUCCACAAAAUGGAAUUAGACCCUUUCUCUACCACCUCAGAAAUGUUGGAAAAGUCAACUCUACUUGUGGGGAUGGAAGACGACCGUAUACCCUCCUGCUAAACAGGGAAUUCCAACCUACAGAAUAAAGGCAGACAGAACUUAACAGUGGAUGAAACAGCACUGGCUCCUGAUUGUGGGGAUCUUUAACACAUAAAGGCGUUCUAAAUAACUGCAGACAAAUACAAAGGAACAAGCAGGUGACUGAAGUCAAGAUUUAACACACACAGUUUAAAGAUAAAACUGUUUGUAGAAUUUGUAUCUCAAACAUUAAACAUCCGCUGCAUUACCAUUAAUAAA